AUUUGAAGUGAGAUUUUUUUGCUAGUUUGUAAGUGAAAUAUUUACCUCUUGAUAUGUAGGGUAGACCUGGCAUUGAUGGAAAGAGAGGUCUGGCUGGAAAAGAUGUGAGCAUUUUUUUCUCUUUGUCAAAUAAUAUUGUGUUUUUUUUAUGUUCCUGCUCUGUUCCAGCAUUUUAAUAAGAUCACUUAAAAAAUACCCACAAAUACCCCAAAAUGAAGUCUUCCUAAUUAUUCUCUUGAGACAGGGAGAGCAAGGACAAAGAGGAGAUGAUGGCAAAAAGGUAUGAUUUGGAGCAAGUCUGGCUAUUCCCCAAACACACCAACACAAUAAACCAUAUUUGUGAUUUUGCGUCUCUAACCCUAGGGUGAUACAGGUGAAUCGGGAACUGAGGUAAGAUAUUUUAUUUUAAUAAGGCAGUAUUAAUUAGCAUCAAAUUAUUAACAUGAUAAUUAAGCCCAAUUGUUAAUUUCUCCUAUCUCCCCCCAGGGUAAAAAAGGGGAAUUGGGUGCUCCGGGCCCACCUGGUACCCAUGUUCUGGUUACUCAACAAGAGGGUGCCACCCUUGAAGAGAUGAGACAGGCAUUCCCUUUGCCAAUGGGACCUCCUGGGGCUAAAGGUCCACCAGGGAUGAAGGGUGACGCUGGUCUUCCAGGGAAAGCAGCUGACAUGAAGAACAUUGAAGUAAUGUUUGAAGACUAUGGCAUAAGGCUGCCCUUGCUGAAGGCACUGAUUGACAGGCUGCUGCAGGACGGCAUGGAGGAGCUUCUGCAGGAGCUAACCACCUCUAGGAGAGUCAAUGAGAAGGAGAAACACGGCUCCAACAUUAUCACUGACUACACAAGAACUGUAAAGUAUGAGAUCUCCAAGGAGCCUCUGACAGAGAUGGACACCAUAGAGGAGGCAGUUGACUCUGACCUAGACAGACAGCUACCAGAACCUAACUCUGAUGCUUUGAAUGAAACGGCGGAGGGCCCCACAUUCUGGAGCCUUACCCCUCUUAAUGGUCUUAAUGGGGUCCAAGACGUGGGGAGGAUAGAGAGCACCUCUAAGGGGAUAGAGGGGACACUGACAGUGGACGAGGACUUCAGUGAAGCUCCCUCGCCCAAGUUGCCUUUAUCAAACUCAACAUUUAACAACACAACGUCUGAAGAGAGGGUCUCUGAGGUACCAGGGGCAAUAGUAGAAAGUGUUCUCCUCAGUGGGGAAUACUCCUUGAAGAAAAAGAAGAGUCGAGAACGGAAGGGCAAGGGACAGAAAGGACGACAUAAGAGGCAACGCCUGACGAGUACAGAGGAGGAAGCGGAGGAGGAGGAAUUAUACGAUGGGGAUGAGUACAGUUAUGAAUAUGUGGAUUCCACAGAUGAUCCCUUACUGUCAAUGGAAAAGCAAGGGGAGUUUGAAAUCACAACAGAAAGCACACUACAUGGAAUGAGCAAAGAGAGUGGCCUGACAACUUUAGGUCCAUAUCCAUCCCAGUCACCGGGAGACAGUGAAAAGCAGGGAGAAUUCAUCACACCUAUCCUUCCCAGCACAACGGAAGAAACAGAGAAGGCGGGACUAUCUCAUGUCCGGGUCAGAGUAAGGAAGAGCGCCCCCUGGCCAGAUUACAUGGUAAGUACACUGAAAAAAAAUAUUGAUUACCAUUCAAAUACAAUGUAAGAGUACAUCAUUUUUAGAAAACAAUGGCAUUUGCCAGAAAUAUUUGAGUCUUUGCUGUUUCAGGCAUACAUGCCAGGAACUGCCGGAGGACGAAAUCGAUACCAUGACAGACAAAAAGUAAACAGAUUUAUUUACUAGGGAUAUUUUUCUAUUACACUGAUAUCAACUACUCAUAGGUUGUUAUCAAAUCACCAGUUAGCGUGGAGGGAAUAGCACAGGGAAGGGGUUCAGAGAAGUUAUGACAUGGUCAAAUCAACAACGUGUGAACAUUCCCUCUUU
ensembl:lncRNA